rnacentral:lncRNA from 1 species
AAUUCUUUGGGGUGAUUGUGAUCAUACCUCCAUUCUUUAAAUAGAUCAUUUGAGCCUUGAGGUUGUUCUUGUUGUUCUUCACCUUCAUCCUCUUGUUUGUUUUCAUGUUCUUCUUCAUUUUGAAUUGUUGAGUCUUUUAGGGUGAUCUCCUUCAUCCCUUCUAUAAGAGGAUCUGCAUCAUCAAUAUCUUCAUUCUUCCUUAAAG